UACGAAGGGGGCUAGCGUUGACUCGGAAUCACGUGGGCGUAAAGGGUUGGCGUAAGGGCGGGUCUUUAAGUCAGGGGUGAAAUCCUGGAGCUCAAUCUCCAGAACUGCCUUGAAUACUUGAAGAUCUUGAGUUCGGGAGAGGUGAGUGGAACUGCGAGUGUUAGAGGUGAAAUUCGUAGAUAUUCGCAAGAACACCAGUGGCGAAGGCGGCUCACUGGCCCGGAUAC
rnacentral:rRNA from 1 species